rnacentral:misc_RNA from 1 species
GAUGAAGAACGCAGCGAAAUGCGAUACGUAAUGUGAAUUGCAGAAUUCAGUGAAUCAUCGAAUCUUUGAACGCACAUUGCGCCCGCUAGUAUUCUGGCGGGCAUGCCUGUCCGAGCGUCAUUUCAACCCAUCAAGCUUAGCGCUCGUGUUGGAGCCCUGCGGCCGCCGCAGCCUCCUAAAAUCAGUGGCGGGCUCGCUAUCACGCUGAGUGCAGUAGUAUUCUUCUCACUCCUGUGGUGUAGCGGGUAACCAGCCGUAAACCCCCCCAUCUAUAAAGGUUGACCUCGGAUCAGGUAGGAAUACCCGCUGAACUUAAGCAUAUCAAUAAGCGGAGGA